rnacentral:rRNA from 1 species
UAAUACAUGCAAGUCGAGCGGACAGAAGGGAGCUUGCUCCCGGAUGUUAGCGGCGGACGGGUGAGUAACACGUGGGUAACCUGCCUGUAAGACUGGGAUAACUCCGGGAAACCGGAGCUAAUACCGGAUAGUUCCUUGAACCGCAUGGUUCAAGGAUGAAAGACGGUUUCGGCUGUCACUUACAGAUGGACCCGCGGCGCAUUAGCUAGUUGGUGGGGUAAUGGCUCACCAAGGCGACGAUGCGUAGCCGACCUGAGAGGGUGAUCGGCCACACUGGGACUGAGACACGGCCCAGACUCCUACGGGAGGCAGCAGUAGGGAAUCUUCCGCAAUGGACGAAAGUCUGACGGAGCAACGCCGCGUGAGUGAUGAAGGUUUUCGGAUCGUAAAGCUCUGUUGUUAGGGAAGAACAAGUGCGAGAGUAACUGCUCGCACCUUGACGGUACCUAACCAGAAAGCCACGGCUAACUACGUGCCAGCAGCCGCGGUAAUACGUAGGUGGCAAGCGUUGUCCGGAAUUAUUGGGCGUAAAGGGCUCGCAGGCGGUUUCUUAAGUCUGAUGUGAAAGCCCCCGGCUCAACCGGGGAGGGUCAUUGGAAACUGGGAAACUUGAGUGCAGAAGAGGAGAGUGGAAUUCCACGUGUAGCGGUGAAAUGCGUAGAGAUGUGGAGGAACACCAGUGGCGAAGGCGACUCUCUGGUCUGUAACUGACGCUGAGGAGCGAAAGCGUGGGGAGCGAACAGGAUUAGAUACCCUGGUAGUCCACGCCGUAAACGAUGAGUGCUAAGUGUUAGGGGGUUUCCGCCCCUUAGUGCUGCAGCUAACGCAUUAAGCACUCCGCCUGGGGAGUACGGUCGCAAGACUGAAACUCAAAGGAAUUGACGGGGGCCCGCACAAGCGGUGGAGCAUGUGGUUUAAUUCGAAGCAACGCGAAGAACCUUACCAGGUCUUGACAUCCUCUGACAACCCUAGAGAUAGGGCUUUCCCUUCGGGGACAGAGUGACAGGUGGUGCAUGGUUGUCGUCAGCUCGUGUCGUGAGAUGUUGGGUUAAGUCCCGCAACGAGCGCAACCCUUGAUCUUAGUUGCCAGCAUUCAGUUGGGCACUCUAAGGUGACUGCCGGUGACAAACCGGAGGAAGGUGGGGAUGACGUCAAAUCAUCAUGCCCCUUAUGACCUGGGCUACACACGUGCUACAAUGGACAGAACAAAGGGCUGCAAGACCG